UACGUAGGGGGCUAGCGUUAUCCGGAAUUACUGGGCGUAAAGGGUGCGUAGGUGGUUUCUUAAGUCAGAGGUGAAAGGCUACGGCUCAACCGUAGUAAGCCUUUGAAACUGGGAAACUUGAGUGCAGGAGAGGAGAGUGGAAUUCCUAGUGUAGCAGUGAAAUGCGUAGAUAUUAGGAGGAACACCAGUUGCGAAGGCGGCUCUCUGGACUGUAACUGACACUGAGGCACGAAAGCGUGGGGAGCAAACAGG
rnacentral:rRNA from 1 species